UAAUGAUGAAUGUUGAUGACGAGUCAGACAUCAUAUUUGAUGUUGAUAACUUUUUUUACCAUUCAUGCUUAACUGAAU
rnacentral:snoRNA from 1 species